CCUACGGGCGGCAGCAGUGAGGAAUAUUGGUCAAUGGGCUUACGCCUGAACCAGCCAAGUCGCGUGAGGGAAGACUGCCCUAUGGGUUGUAAACCUCUUUUGUCAGGGAGCAACGCCGGCUACGUGUAGCCGGACUGAGAGUACCUGAAGAAAAAGCAUCGGCUAACUCCGUGCCAGCAGCCGCGGUAAUACGGAGGAUGCGAGCGUUAUCCGGAUUUAUUGGGUUUAAAGGGUGCGUAGGCGGACUGGAAAGUCAGCGGUAAAAUCGAGAGGCUCAACCUCUUUCCGCCGUUGAAACUGUCGGUCGUGAGUGGGCGAGAAGUAUGCGGAAUGCGUGGUGUAGCGGUGAAAUGCAUAGAUAUCACGCAGAACUCCGAUUGCGAAGGCAGCAUACCGGCGCCCGACUGACGCUGAGGCACGAAAGCGUGGGUAUCGAACAGGAUUAGAUACCCGAGUAGUC
rnacentral:rRNA from 1 species